AGAGUUUGAUCAUGGCUCAGAAUGAACGCUGGCGGCGUGCUUAACACAUGCAAGUCGAACGGUAACAGAAGGAGCUUGCUCCUUGCUGACGAGUGGCGCACGGGUGAGUAAUAUAUAGAUAAUGUGCCUCGCAGACCGGGAUAGCCAUUGGAAACGAUGAUUAAUACUGGAUACUCCUUCUUAUCAUAAGAUAAGUCGGGAAACGGAUUCUGCUGCGAGAUCGGUCUAUAUCCCAUCAGUUAGUUGGUAAGGUAACGGCUUACCAAGGCAAUGACGGGUAGCGGGUUUGAGAGGAUGAUCCGCCACACUGGUACUGAGACACGGACCAGACUCCUACGGGAGGCAGCAGUGAGGAAUAUUGCACAAUGGGGGCAACCCUGAUGCAGCAACGCCGCGUGGAGGAUGACGCAUUUCGGUGUGUAAACUCCUUUUAUAUGUCAAGAAAAUGACGGUAGCAUAUGAAUAAGCACCGGCUAACUCCGUGCCAGCAGCCGCGGUAAUACGGAGGGUGCAAGCGUUAUUCGGAAUCACUGGGCGUAAAGGACGCGUAGGCGGGUUGGUAAGUCAGAUGUGAAAUCCUACAGCUUAACUGUAGAACUGCAUUUGAAACUACUAACCUAGAGUAUGGGAGG
rnacentral:rRNA from 1 species